rnacentral:rRNA from 1 species
GACAUAGGGUGCAAACGUUGCUCGGAAUCACUGGGCGUAAAGCGCACGUAGGCCGUCUACUAAGUCCGAUGUGAAAUCCCCCGGCUUAACCUGGGAACUGCGUCUGAUACUGGAAGGCUUGAGGAUGGGAGGGGUAUGUAGAAUUCCAGGUGUAGCGGUGAAAUGCGUAGAUAUCUGGAGGAAUACCGGUGGCGAAGGCGGCAUCCUGGACCAUUACUGACGCUGAGGCGCGAAAGCGAGGGGAGCAAACGGG